rnacentral:tRNA from 1 species
GCGGGUGUAGCUCAGUUGGCUAGAGCGGCAGCUUGCCAUGCUGCAGGUCGUGAGUUCGAGUCUCAUCACCCGCUCCA